UUAAAUUGAAGAGUUUGAUCAUGGCUCAGAUUGAACGCUGGCGGCAGGCCUAACACAUGCAAGUCGAACGGUAACAGGAAUCAGCUUGCUGAUUCGCUGACGAGUGGCGGACGGGUGAGUA
rnacentral:rRNA from 1 species